CAUCCGGGUCAGCUUCUGUGAGAGAACGUCAGCGCGACCUGCGCGAGACGGAGCGAAUUAGUGAAGGGAGCGACAGAGCAACAUCCAUAGGCGGCUACACCGUCCCGACGACAAAGCGGCAAACGUUCACGGCAAGCCUAUUACACAACCUGACAGAGAAGUGCACCUGAAAGUGACAAGAAAAUGGCAUUUAUGAAGGGAGAGCCAUUGGUUAGAAAACUUGCAGUGCUGUCCAAGUACGCAGUGCUACCAGGAGCCAUGAUAGCUGCACUGAUAUACUCUCCUCCUGAUUAUGCAUCUUCCUCCGAGAAACAUGCAUCUGCUACAACCAAAUAGGCUAUCAUGGUUGCCUGGUUAUGCAUGUUCGCGGGAUCUUUUCCAUUGAAUGAAUAAAUAUGUUAUGUAAUAAUGGCGGUGGCUAAAUAUUUACAAGUCUUUCCAUUGUAAUAGGUUUGCGGAGAGAAUUUGUUUCAUCUGAGUUUGACCCGUCAAACGUUUUAUAUAUUGGGCUUCAUGGAAAGUACAAGAAAUGCAAGUGCUCCCGUUUAUCAAUUGUCGAGGGCCAUAUUGAAUUGCUUAUGACGUUGAAUGGGCUGUCUUCCCGUUGGAAACAAUUUAUUUGAAUUGGUUUGAGUGCUUUAAUCUU